AAUGUUUUGGCCCUACUGGUGAAAAUAUGUAGACCUAACAUCUAUCUCCCUGCUCCAGUUUCAAGAGAAAAGACCUUAUUCAGAGAAAUAUUUAGAAGACUCUUGUGGAAUUCUUGCUGUGAGUGGUUUUUCCUUCCCUGCCAUUGGUGCGACUGUUUCCCCCUUCCGUCAAAUUGCUGUCUAGAUGUUUCUCUCUGACCCCAAUUUUCUCGGAGUUUGGGAUUAUCAAUCUAAAAUCAGAGGGAACUGCCACUCACUGACACGGACAACAGUAAAGGAACUUGGUCUUCACUAUGCCUCAUAGUGGUGGGUCACACUGCCCAGGAGGAACCCGCAAUGAGACCGGCAAAUGCCUUAACCAUCUCAUUGUCUCAUCAGGAAGAAGCUUAAAUGACUCUUCUUGCUCACAUACUUCCUGGGCAAACAUGUCUGCUCUGUUGGGAUAAAGGACGCUCUAGACCAGGCUCUGCUGAAAGAUCCAGGGCAAAGGUUCCUGACAAGACUAUGUCCAGCCUCAAAUAAGGCCACAGAAGAGCCCAGGCUCGCUGACGAGCACCGGCUCCGAGGCAGUCACAUCAGGAGACAGAAACAGACAUGUUGGUGCUGCCCUCUCAGGUCAGUGCAAAUGCCACUUGAGGAGGGCUGAGAGCUUUGCAGCAUAAAAUGACCAGAACAAGGAGAAACACAGAUGCAAUGGCAAUAGCUGGCAAUUCGCACAUGGCGUCAAACACCACUGCCACAGAAGCUUUUUAGCUACAAGCCACGCUAUGCAACCUUUAAGCAAAACAUUAUUGAUUUUGUGGUUGUAAAAACAUACCUUCAACUGCAGAACUCAGUUUUAUGACACCUUGAAUAAAAACAAAAAGUGGCAGUUAUAUAAUGGACCCAAAUCGCCUUUUCCAGGCUUCUCAUAACACACGCAUGCUUCAGAUUUGGAUUUUUCUUUUUCUGCUGGCAUUGCAAGAACGUAACUAAACAAAUAUCAACUUCAAAAAUAAAAUAAUUUUUAGUCUUAA
rnacentral:lncRNA from 1 species